GUGUGUGUGUGUGUGUGUGUGUGUGUGUGUGUGUGUGUGUGUGUGUGUGUGUACGCGCUGUGGUGGAAAGGUUAUUAAAGUUUAUUAGGUAAUUCCCCCCACCACUGUAAGAAAGUGUAAUGGUACGGCUCUGGGUUCAUCCGGACCAGCACCAGCUCUGAGUUGGAGGGACAGAGGGGCGACAGAGGGGCGACAGAGGGGCGACAGAGGGGCGACAGAGGGGCGACAGAGGGGCGACAGAGGGGCGACAGAGGGGCGACAGAGGGGCGACUCAGGCAAAAUAAAUAUAUAAACCACACACAUUGAGCAUUUCUCUUAAUAAAACAUGACUCUGGUUUAUUAUUAUUAUUAUUAUUAUUAUUGAUAUUAAUAAGCACUCUGUAGAGAUCCAACAGGAACUAACAGGGAAGGAGGGACAGAGGAAGAAAAUGAGAGAAGGACAGAAGAAGCAGCAGGCAUUAAAGAUGGAGAAAUGAGAGUUGAAAUAUUUUUAUGAUAAUAAAUAAAUAAAUAAAUAAAUAAAAUAAAAUAAAAUAAAGUAAGCCGAGAGAGAAAGCAUGCGUACUGUACCUUAAAGACUUUGGCGGCGAGCGGAUCUUUUUCCAAAUCAAUAUCUAAAGGAUCAAUAUCAACAUCCAUCAGGUCCUGUAGCAAGUCAAAGUCUAUGUCUUUAUCUUUUUCCAAAGAUGACAGUGGAGGAGCACCUUUGGGCAACGAAAAGAGCUUUAAUAUCGCCAAGCAAGCACACUAAGAGACGCCCAUACACACCCACACACACACACACACACACACACACCAAACACUCUUGAAGGAUCCUAAUGAGAGACGCUGACGAGCACACAGUCACGCUGAAGUUGAUCUUGUUUUUGUCUAAGCAGCUGCUGAGUGAACAUGAGAGGAACAUUUGGGGGCGUGGCCUAACCUAGCCUAUCCUUUUAAUGUUGUAAUUAACGUUUGGCAGUUUUCAAAAAAAACCACAACACCUAAAUAUCCAAUCUGAAGGGUGAGAUCAGACAGCGUAUGACUGUGUAUGACUGAUCACUACAUGCCUGUAUACAUCCUUCUCUUUUUAUAAAAUAUAUAUUUCACAUUUUAUUUGAUGUAAAUAAAUCAACAGUAUAUCAGAGAUUUAUAUGUAAUAUAGUUUAAAUGAUUUAUUUUUAUACAUUUUCUUAUACGGUGUAUCUCCUUUAUCCUUUACUGUACACUAGUAUAUACUUAUAAACAUUUACACUUUUAUAAAAGGUAUCAUUAAAUAAACACUGGAAUUAUAUAUUUAUAAAUUUAAAUCACAUAUUUAUAUAUAGUUUACUUAUGCAUUUAUUUUUACACACAUUAUAUAACAUAAUAGAGCUAUGGAAUAAUUACAAAUGCGGUUCAUAAAUGAAUAAUUCGCUGUUUCUACUGUACAUCAUUUAUAUUUAAUAGUGCAUUAUAAUUUUGCAGUUUUAUAAAUGUAUAAUUUAAUAUAAUGACUGAUAAUAUAAGCAAUAUAUUUACAUAUUUAUUGUGGUGUCACUGUAUGAUAUUGUAUGACAAUGUAGAACUAUAAAUAGCUACAAGUAUGUAAUUAUAGAAUAAGUAUAAUUUUGUAGUAGAGAUAAUAUUUAUAUUAUUUAUUUACUUUUAAUUUGUAGAUUUGAUUAUGAAUAAUUACAAUGAACACACACUUCAGCACACAGCUGCUGUACAGAUGUUUAUAAGCAGAGGUCACAUCACUCUGGAUGGAAUUUGACCUCUGCUGUAUAAAAUGAAACAGGAAGUGAAGAUGACAUGCCUCUGUGUUAGUGUGCGCACACACACACACACACACACACACACACACACACACACACACACACACACAGCGCCUCAUGACUGCAGCAGAACAUCAACACUUUGUGAAGCAUCAGGUCUGGACUUUUAUUUAAAAUCACUCAUGCUCAAUAAACAAGACGAGCAAUUAAAAUCCAUGCAGAUAUAUAAGUGUGUGUGUGUGUGUGUGUGUGUGUGUGUGUGUGUGCGUGUGUGGGGACGGUAUUACCAACGCACUUUGGAAAGCAGACGAGCUCCCGGGAGUACCUGCGAUGAGAUCAGGGCCGAGCGGCUCAUCGAUCGUCUCCACCAGCGUGAGCGGAGUGGGCGGAGCCAGAGAGUCGUCAGAGUCCAACACCACCACCGCCGAGGAGGAGGAAGAGGAGGAGAUCCCACCUUCUUCACCUACUGCACCCUCCUCCAUCACAUCCACACACACCGGAGACAUCAACUCUCCUGAGAGCAAGAGACAGCCAAUUAAACAUAAGGCUUUGUUCCAUAUCGUGCACAGUGUGUCUCAAACCUCACAAUCAUGGCUUUUAACACACACACACACACACACACACACACACACCUGCGAGGAUGUCCUGCAGCAUGCAGGUGAGUGAAUAUUGUGCCCAGGCUCCGCCCCAGCUGAUGUCACCGCGGUUGAAGUCCGUUCCCACCAAAAGGAGCAGGAGUCUCUCUAGCUGCUGCUCAGACACAA
ensembl:lncRNA